GCAAGCGUUAAUCGGAAUUACUGGGCGUAAAGCGUGCGCAGGCGGUUCGCUAAGACAGAUGUGAAAUCCCCGGGCUUAACCUGGGAACUGCAUUUGUGACUGGCGGGCUAGAGUAUGGCAGAGGGGGGUAGAAUUCCACGUGUAGCAGUGAAAUGCGUAGAGAUGUGGAGGAAUACCGAUGGCGAAGGCAGCCCCUGGGCCAAUACUGACGCUCAUGCACGAAAGCGUGGGGAGCAA
rnacentral:rRNA from 1 species